UACGGAGGGAGCUAGCGUUGUUCGGAAUUACUGGGCGUAAAGCGCGCGUAGGCGGCUUUGUAAGUUAGAGGUGAAAGCCCGGGGCUCAACCCCGGAACUGCCUUUAAGACUGCAUCGCUUGAAUCCGGGAGAGGUAAGCGGAAUUCCUGGUGUAGCGGUGAAAUGCGUAGAUAUCAGGAGGAACACCUGCGGUGUAGACGGCUUACUGGACCAUAACUGACGCUGGAGGCACGAAAGCCGUGGGUAGCAAACAGG
rnacentral:rRNA from 1 species